rnacentral:rRNA from 1 species
CGCCUCUUGCAUAAUAUAAGAAUAAGAGGUCCCGCCUGCCCUGUGACCGCAAGUUUAACGGCCGCGGUAUUUUGACCGUGCAAAGGUAGCGCAAUCACUUGUCUUUUAAAUAAAGACCUGUAUGAAUGGCAUAACGAGGGCUAAACUGUCUCCUCACCCUAGUUAAUGAAAUUGAUCCUCCCGUGCAGAAGCGGGAAUUAACUCAUAAGACGAGAAGACCCUGUGGAGCUUUAGAUAAACAGAUGAGUUUGUUAACAAUUAAACCUUGUGAAAGAUAAUAAACCUACAACCUCAUCUUAAUAUCUUUAGUUGGGGCGACCGCGGAGUAAAACAAAACCUCCGUGAGGAUUGAGGUGAAAACCUUAUACCCAAGAAAGUCAUUUCUAAGUACCAAAAAAUUUGACCUAUAGAUCCGGCAAUGACCGAUCAACGAACCUAGUUACCCCAGGGAUAACAGCGCAAUCCUCUUUAAGAGUCCCUAUCGACAAGGGGGUUUACGACCUCGAUGUUGGAUCAGGACAUCCUAAUGGUGUAGCCGCUAUUAAGGGUUCGUUUGUUCAACGAUUAAAGUCCU